GCAAAACCUAGUCUUCUAGGAUUUUAUUCCUAUGGAUUUGGGAAGCGAGAAAAAUAAGAGAAAAAAUAGUUUAUUCUCCAUAUUUUUUCUACCUCUCCAUCUCCUCUAGAAGUCAAUCUUCAACCUUUGAAAAGAUUUUAAAAAAUUUGAAAAAAGAAUCCAGAUUAGCCAAGAAGAAGGUCUUCGUGUGGCUAGCACUCUCGAGG
rnacentral:lncRNA from 1 species